rnacentral:tRNA from 1 species
UAGGAGAUAGUGUAGUGGGAGCACGAAGAGUCUUGGUCUCUUAAGUAGGGGUUCGAGUCCCCUUUUUCUAA